AUGAAGGUUUCAAAUUAUUAUAGCACCCGUCCAUUAUUAUACUGGUUAUGGCCUCUGCUAUGGAGCUCUAAAAAUUGUUCUACCUUUGAAGAACCUUUGCACAAUUUUGGACGCCAAGACCUUGUGUGGCAUCGCCUACAUAACUAUGGGAUCAGUCUUGGAGUUGUACAUUCUUAUAGCCUUGGAGAGCUCUCUCCUUCUACGAAAAAAGCUAAAAAACAGAAAAAGAAAAAAAGAGAAAAGAGAAAAAAAGAAAAAGAAAAAAGAAAAAAGAGAAAAAGAGAAAAGGGAAAAAAUAAAAGGAAAAAAGGAAAAAGAAAAAAAAGAAAAAAGGAAAAGAAAGGAAAUGCUUUAAAAAAAGAGAGUAAAGCUUUCCAUCUGUUCAGUGUCCGCACGUGUGGUAGUCUUGUGACUUUAUGUGAGGUGUUUGUGUAG
rnacentral:rRNA from 1 species